UACGUAGGUGACCAGCGUUGUCCGGAUUUACUGGGCGUAAAGAGCGCGCAGGCGGUCGAUCAAGUCGAGUGUGAAAGCCCCCGGCUCAACUGGGGAGGGUCAUUCGAUACUGAUCGACUCGAAGGCAGGAGAGGGUAGUGGAAUUCCCGGUGUAGUGGUGAAAUGCGUAGAUAUCGGGAGGAACACCAGUGGCGAAGGCGACUACCUGGCCUGUUCUUGACGCUGAGGCGCGAAAGCUAGGGGAGCAAACGGGG
rnacentral:rRNA from 1 species